CUCCUUGUUUAGAGACCUUUUGCUUAAGAGUAUGCAGCAUUACACUGGCACGUACAAUAGGAAUGUCAUGCCAGAGUUAGUGUCUUUAUUUAUGUGGGACAUUGCGGUGUAGUUAUCAGGUCACAUUCUCUAACUCUGUCAGCUACUCGGGCCUGUGUGUCGUCUGCAGCACCUGCUGUGUAUCCCAAUCCCGAGGCUGCGCACGGCUCUGCUUAUCUGCAACCUCUGUGACAGUGUCAGUCUCUUUGUGGCUCUGUACUAAUGGUUUCCUUUGAAACAUAAAUUAGACUUGAAAGAAGGGAGAGAACGAACACAUGAUUGAGGACUGAAAGGUACAGAGAGAGCUUGAUAGAUUUUUCCGUCAUUAAUAAUACAGAUUGUCUUACCACAGAGCCUCUAUCAUGUAGUCUAAUUACAUUGAUUUUGUAUGUCAGUCAAGUAUUUUACCAGAGUGUAGCCUUCAUUCGGUAUGCAUGUGUGUGCCUGUUGUAGAGAAUUAGCCAGGUCAAGCAAAGGGCUGUCAGAGGACUUUGUAAUUAAGGACUGUGUGGCAGCAGCAUGUUUCCCAUUAGGGCACCAGUAUCACAUCCCAGCCAUGUGAGUCAGCCUUGGCAGUCUUGCCCUGUUUAAUAGAGUUAAACAGAAACGCUUAGGCUAAUUAUCUACAUCACUGAUAGGAUUUGCCUGUAGCAGUCACAGUAUAAAGCAGCAACAGCUAUCAAUUGAACAGAAAUGAUUGGGAAGAGUGUAAGUUUUAGUCAUGUGUACCUUUUUUUUGCACAUUAAUGUUCACAAAAUGUAAUUAAAUUAUUUUCAAUUUUUUUUUUUUUUUUAAAUAUGCAGACUGCACUGUUAUUAGUUGCAUUUUGAGAGACUCUGAAAAAAACUAUCUCCGGUCUAAAUUAAAUCAACAGCGAUCUGAUUUCAGAAAUACUACUCUGAAAGAACAUUUCCUUCUCCUCAUUUUUUUUUGUUGGUGUUUUUUUUAAUAUGUCCAGUUGUGCUCCUCCAUUCUCUCGGUCUGUCUUUUUGUCAUUCAGCUUGCUGUGUUGUCUCCAAACCCUAGUUUUUCCUCCACCAUUGUCUGUAAUGUUCCCAACAGGCCUCGAGUAACUUUUUUCAAAAAACGUCUUACAACAGAGAACAUAAUAAUUAGAGAUGCAACCUCAGAUAUGUCUGAGUUUUGUGCUCAUCCGGAGCAGGCUGAUGUUCACCUAUCCAGUAAUGUCAUUGCACAUGUAGCAAUGCAGAACAAUUGUGAUUGUUCUGUUUGGUAACAAUAUGCGCGACAUAUUGAUUGGCAUGAGGAUAUUUCUUCUGUGAUGCAAAAUUUAAAUGGGAUGGGCUGCAAUUGUGACUGGCUUGCUAAUAAUGCCAGUGUUAACAAUAAUGCAUUAGCUGGCAACCAACAAGUGUAGUCUGCCGUUUUCUAGUUUUGAGAAUCCUGCAAGUCCAUAUGGGAAGUCUUUCUCUUUUCCUUUAAUAACCCUGGGGCCAUCUGGCAU
ensembl:lncRNA